CCAACGGCCCUCUUUAGGGCCACAAAUGCUACUUCGAAUACCACA
rfam:Necator americanus N_americanus-1.0_Cont1216.8, whole genome shotgun sequence.